UGGGGAAUUUUGGACAAUGGGGGAAACCCUGAUCCAGCCAUCCCGCGUGUGCGAUGAAGGCCUUCGGGUUGUAAAGCACUUUUGGCAGGAAAGAAACGUCAUGGGUUAAUACCCCGUGAAACUGACGGUACCUGCAGAAUAAGCACCGGCUAACUACGUGCCAGCAGCCGCGGUAAUACGUAGGGAGCAAGCGUUAAUCGGAAUUACUGGGCGUAAAGCGUGCGCAGGCGGUUCGGAAAGAAAGAUGUGAAAUCCCAGGGCUCAACUUGGGAACUGCAUUUUUAACUACCGGGCUAGAGUGUGUCAGAGGGAGGUGGAAUUCCGCGUGUAGCAGUGAAAUGCGUAGAUAUGCGGAGGAACACCGAUGGCGAAGGCAGCCUCCUGGGAUAACACUGACGCUCAUGCACGAAGGCGUGGGGAGCAAACAGG
rnacentral:rRNA from 1 species